UAGGUUCUUUUGUUCAGGUAAUGCUUUGUUAUUCCUGAUGAAACCAUCAGCAUUUAUUAUGUAAGAAUAACAAUGUUUUCUUUUGCAUUGUAUAAUUUUUUCUUAAAUAUUUUCAUAUGUGUUAUACCCUAUGCAUUGAAUCUCAUUGCCUCCCCCAGCCUUUGAACUCUAGGAAGGAUAUUAUUGUCCCCAUUUUGAAGACAAACCCAAACACACAGGUUGUAGCCCCCAGAGCCACACAGCUAGUUAGUGGCAGAACUCAGGGUUCAUGAUUUCUGCUCUGCCAUCCUUUUAACUUUCAAUGUCUGUGGUUGUAAUCAGAAAUUCCUUAAAGUGAAACUAAUAAUACAUGAAGGAAACCCACUGAGUUCCAUCACUUUCAAUGGCACUCAUGAUUUGUACAAUUUUUUAAGGUAAAAGAAAUGUAUUUCCUUGUGUUCAUGUUGUAAAAAAGGUUUAUUUUUAAAGAAGUAGUAAUUGAGGGAGUUAGGUGGAAUUUGGGGAUAAAGGCAAAUGGGGGGACAGAAUAAGUAGCUGUAUUCACAUUCUUACAGAGUACAUAAAAGAGACUGUUAUACUUAAUGAAGACUCCAGAGGCUAAAACUGGGAUCUGUGUGUCGGGGCAGAUGUGGUAGGGGAGAAACUUCACUAUCUAUCAAAUAGAGCAUGGAGUUGGAAUCAGAGAUGUGAAUUCACUUAUCUAAGGUGCAGUUUCCUUAUCUAUAAAAUAAUAUUGGACUUCUGUUCUGGUUACAUGACAGACUGAGCUAACUCAGGCUACCCUUGUUUGAACACUUGGGAGAUGCUAAAAAAAUAAAAUGAAGAAAUGUUUAAAUACCUGGAUAAACUUGAAAUGCCCAAGUACCUAAACCAAAGUAACUCAAAGCUAGUGUAUGUGAACUUACAAAACAGCAUCCCAGGGGAAUAUGGUACUCUAGGUAGGUAUUAGAGUUUAAUGCUCAUGAAUACAUACAUGAUUUGGGACCUUAAUUGAAAUGGAAAUCUCUGCAUAAGUUAGAACCUAGGGGUGGCUGUCCUCUCUGAAAGAGGGAAUGCAAGAGCUACCUGCUGGCCCAGGAGACAGUAGAAAUCAUAAUGUAAAAUUGGUGGAGGGAGUGGGGGUAGUGUUGAAGAAAAAGGAAAUAGAACUUUAGAAAUUAAGACAGUCAUUUAAGUUUUCAUUCAAAUUGCAAUGUUCACAGGUUGAAGUAGUUCACAAAAGUAUUGUGGAAAACGUGUGACGGUAGUUACCAUUUGCCAGGUAAUGUGUCUGAGGAUAACUGCAAUAUAUGUGCAAUGCUUACCAUAGUGCCUGGUGUAAUUAGUUAGGGUUCCAGAAAUGGUGGCUACUACUAUGAUUAUUUCCUGUCUCGUUUUUCAAGCAGAUAUCAAAUGAUCACUUUGGGGGACAUUUUCAUAGAUGGUGUACACAGAGCAUAAAACCCAGUGAGCUUUGAGGUUCUUUGAGUCACUGUUUGCCCCUCAGCGUGGUUCAGCAUGCAAGAGGAUGCUGCCUCUUUUCUUGCUUAUGAUUCUUGCCAUCCAAAACUUGCUCCUUUCUCAGUGUCCCUUCUCAAAAUCAUGGUAUCUGGUUGCUCAGGCAAAGACCUUGCUGUCCUCCUCAACGCAUGUCUUGAAUCUGAUCACUUCCCACCCCCUUCAUCACUAACACCCAAGUAUAACCAUCAUCACUUCUCUUCUGGAAUAUUGUGGUAGAAAACUCAAAAGGUUUUGCCUUGGCCUACAAGGUUUGGCACCGUCAGACCUCUGGCCAUCUCUCUGAUUUCAUCUACUGCUUUUCCCCCUCAACGCUUUCCAUCUCAGAUGCGCUGGCCUCCUUGCAGUUCUCAAGUACGCCAAGCAUGUUCCCUCCUCAGGCCUUUUCAGGCUGGUCUCUGCCCAUAACGCUCUUCUCAGUGUCCAGAUGGCUUCACUGUUGACUCAUGCAGUCUUAGGCUCAAGUGUCAUGCCAUCAGAGAGGCUCUCUGAUUACAGUGUGUAAAGUAGCAGCCCUCCCAAGACUUUAUACCUAUAACUCCUUACCCUAACUUGUUUUCCUCUAAUCACUUAUUGCUACUUAACAUUAUUUUAUGUUUUUUUUUGGUUAUGAUCUGCCCCCACGCCCACCCUUUGGGAUUAAACCUGUGACAGAUGAGACUUCAUUUCUUUUGUUUAGUGCUGAGUCCCCAGCACAACAGGAUUUGACAUGUAAAUAGUGGUUGAAUGAGUGAAUAAAUGAAUCCACUGUUGAGUUUCUACCGGGUGUUUUACAAAGAAAAGUUAGGAUGGUUUGGGAAGGCUUAAAAAAUGGCUUCCAGCUGAAGGUUUUAAUUUUUGGGUUAUCAAUUAGCAUGAAACACCUUGAUAAUACAUGGAUCCCUUAUUUUCAUACUCCAUAUGGGAGUGUCUAGUGUCUUUUUUCCCUGGCCAGUGCUUUCCAGGAGUUAAGAUAGACAAGACUGCACAGCAGACAUAUUUGUGCUUGGAUGUGUAAUUCCUUCUGGAAUUACUCUGCAUGGAGAACUCUGUGUGGCUGGGGUACACUUUGGAGGACCCCCCUACUGGGACAUAGUUUCUGGUAAGAAAGAUAGUAAUUUUUCUUGAAAUCAACUCACAACAUGGAAAGCCUACAGAUUCAUCAGGACAUAAGCAAAGAAGAUUUUUCUGCUAAAAGGUAGGAUAUGGUGUGUACAGUUUAGUUAGUAGUGAUUAGUUGUACUCUGGCAGCCAUACUUACCUAGAAAAAAUACUAAGGGAGAUAUAGUCAAUGGUUGAGCCAAUUAUUGUCAAAGAACCUCACUCACAGUGACAGUUUGCCAUCUCAGAAAUGAUAAAAGUCAUUGGUGCGCAGGCAUGAACCCUGCAUUGUGUAGGCAGCAUGAGUUAGGACGGCCUCGGUCCGGAGGGGGUAUAUGUGACAAUUGGAGGUUGGAGGCCCCAUCACAUAUGGAAAAGGGAAUGGUUUUGAAACUGGCUUUUGAAAUUUUUGGUGUAGAAUUUAGAAAGGAAACAUUGGCUCUAUUACUCAUUGAAAUCCCAUUCCAUUAUUUUUUAAUUUUUUUUUUUAAAUUAUGGCUUGGUUUUCUCAGUCAUGCUUCCUGACUGAGAUGGGAGCUGGGAGCACUUCCCUUGUGCGCCGGUCCAGGGGCCCCACCUGCUUCUGCUGCUGUUAAUUGUUGUCAUGUUUCAACAACUAUGAUGUUGUAAUUUCUGGUGUUUGUUUACUUUUUAUAAGUACCUCAUUUCUUCCUGACCAUACCCUGUGAAGUACAUAAGGCAAAUACAGUGUGGAAUAUGAGGCUUAUAGAAGUCAAGUGACUUACCCACCAGGUACUAGCGGGCGGUGACAGGAGCCCUCAUGGAACUCAGACCUUUGACUUUGACUUCACAUUUCUAAUGCUUUCCACUCCAUUGCACUGCCUCUUUUCAUUGCAAAAGUGCAAUCAAUAGAAUUAAAUUUAAAUUUGGUGUGGCAGUAUCUGAAAUGGCCACAAGAUGGGUGUAUCGCUCAAAAAGGUCUAUAUUCCUGUCUGCCGCGUGUCUUCCUUUCUUCCUCUGUGCCUGUCCUUAUUUGCCUCUUUUCUCUUUUCAGCCCUUUUACUUCUCCCCUUCUCUCUUUCUUCUUAGUUUAUUAAGGGACUGAAAUAUUGCAUUUAUUUCUUGAGGCGUUUCAGAUCUCCUUUGACUCUAAAAUUUAAUAUCAAAACUCAUUUAGCUGUCUAUUGAAUUGCUCCCCAUUUAUAGGUCAUGACCUGAGAUAGAAGAUUGUUUCCACUUUCUAUAUAAUAUCUAAAAAGAAUUUCACCUUAGAUUUUUUUCCAGGUGAUCAUGAAUGGCCCUAGGAACUCCAUAACCCAUUCUUAACUCAAAACUGUGCCAUGUAUCAUCUUGAGAGGGAGGGAAUGGAAAAAAAUUAAUUCUUAGGCCUUUAAAAUGUUUGAUUCAAGAAAUAUGUGAGCAACUGUUUAUGUCUCUACGUAAAGAGUUUUGAGAACAACUCAUAUAUAUGAGGCUAGUUUAGAAGAAGCAGGAACCAUGCAAAAAGGCAGUGCUCAGUGGGUUUAUUAGAUCAAACCUAGAAUCUUGCCUUAGGGGAAAUGGAAUUUCAGAACCAUUACUUCAUUGGAAUUUGUUAUUUCAAACAAAGCAAAUAUGCUAGUCUUCAAACUACCUGUAAGAAAAAAUUCUAGAAAAACUAAAUAGCAGUCUCCAAAUAAAUGAAAUCCUAACCAUUUGCUGUUUGGAGUAACAGAAAAUUCUUCAGCAUUUGAGGAUACUUGCCCUCAGGGGAUGCUCUUAUUCAUGAGCUAAAAGCACACUAGUUUGAACUUCAUUCUCUGCUCAGAUCGUGUGCAGUUGGUGUGAGAGUUAGGAUUUUAAGCUCCAGGAUUACAGUGACUUCAUCAGUCUUGUUUCUUGAUGUGUUCACAAAGUCUUGCAGUGUCUACACAGCAAAUUGAUCUUUACAGUGAUUUGACCAUACAAAGUCAUUUUAUAGAUAUGUAUAGUGAAGCUUAGAGAAUUCAAGAAAACUCCCAUAGGAUAUGAAGUUAGUGAGUGAUGGAGCUGUGAUUAAGUCCCAGGAAUUUCAGACUCUGAAGUCAAUGCUUAUCGUCACUGCCCUUUACUGUAAAUGAGGGGUUGAGUGAAUGGGACAAGGGCCACUUGUAUCGCUCCAUUUUUGGUGAUGUUCAUCAUGUAGUGAUGGGUAAUUCAGUUUCUCUGUCAGUUUUGAAACUUCCUCUCUGUACACUGCAGCUGAAUCCAGUUUUUCUUAUAACUAUAUAAGGCUGUAGUUUUACCUUUUGGCCUGUUUCUACCUUUUAGAACUGGAUUUCAUGAGGAAACAUCUUAGUGGGUGCUCUUUUUCUCUGCAGGGAAUCCUAAAUUUUGCUCUUAGUUUCAAUGGUAGUGGUGGUAACUACCUUCUUAUUUCAAUACACUGUUCUCCUCUGAUCCUUAUCUGUAUUUGGGACCUCUACUACUAAUUUGCUUAUUACAUUUUAGAAAAAUACUCUGGUGGUAGAACCAGAAUGUCUGAUUCUAUUUCAUGAUCUUUGAGGGAGUUUGAGCCUGAACUGUUUGAACAGAUAUAUAAAAAGGCUCAGAAAUUAAAUAGAUGUUGAUUUGUUUCAAAGGGUUACAAGUGUGAACAUUGGAGGCUAUGGCCCUUGGCUCUCAUCCUGGCUCUGCAUGUGCUGCGAGACCCGAGGUUUCUUAACCUGGGACUAUGGAUGGGCCCCAGGGAGCCCAUGAGCCCUCUGAAAUGGUUAAAAGGAAGGCUGCUGGCUCUGAUUUGUUCAACAUCUGUUAAUUGAGUCCUGAUUAUGUUCCAAGCAUCGAGCUAGGCAUUGGAGAUACGGUGGUAAGCAAAGUGAAUAUGGCCUGUUUCCUGGUGGGAAGACAGGCCAUCAAGUAAGCAUACAAAUAACUGAGAGCUUGUGCAGGCGCCAUGGAGGAAUGUACAUGGUGCCAUGAGAAUAAAGAAUGAAAGGCCUGGCCUGGAAAAGGGAAGAGGAUUUUGGGGAAGAUUCACUAGAGUGAUAUUGGAGCUCUGGUCUGAAAGGUGAACAGGAGUGAAUCAGGGCCGCCCCUGUUCAGGCAGAAGGACCGGGCUUUUAGUGCAUGUGCAAUUUGGUCACAGUUUCUGUUCAGUAGAGGCAUCAGUGCAAAGAAGAAGGGGUCUUUUCUCAUUACCUUAGCAAGCAUUAGGGUGUUCUCUGUGUGCACAGGCAGGGGACAGUGAUGUGUGAGCCACACAGCUGACUGGCAGAGGCACUGAUACAGUGCAGGCAAGCUGAGACAUGCUGGUCUUUCCUGGGUGCAGCCUCAUAAGGAGGCUUGAACUGCUUUGCUGUUGGUGCCUUUUGGCUCCCUGUUGAGGAUCAGGCAACAGACUUUCUCAGGGCUAUGCCUCAGAGACAGCCUGAACAAGGUGGCUGUGCCACACUGCCACCCAUGCUCCAGAAGUCAAGAUCGGUGCCAGCCCACUGUGAGCAGUGUUUUUGUUCACGGUGGGGGUGAGGGUUAGGCCUUUAAGGAAGGAGAGAGAAACUGAGAACAAGUGAGGCUGAGAAAUAGGAAAGGAAGGUGAGCCUGAGCUGGUAAAGAAGUCAGAACUCUGGACCAGCAAGCUCUGCAAAAGACAUAAGAGCUUUGUCUGUUACCAGUCCUGAGGGGUGACCCUGAGUACUCAUUCAGGAACACACUAGGGGCUGUCAUUGAGAGAAGUGAGCACAUCUCUUAGAGAAGCCUGGAGUAAUUACGAGAAUUAUUUUUAAACAGCAUUUAUUUUUUUACUCAAUUACAGAAAUAAUUUAUGCUCAAUACAGAAAAUUUAGGAAACAUGGGAAACAUAUAAAGAGGUGCCCAUAUCCUGUCAUGAAAGUGUAAGAACCAAAUGA